rnacentral:rRNA from 1 species
AAAGGAAUAGACGGGGACCCGCACAAACGGUGGAGCAUGUGGUUUAAUACGACGAUACGCGUGGAACCUUACCCAGGCUUGACAUGUACUAGAAAGCCCUAUGAAAGUAGGGCCCUGGCUUCGGUCACUGGUACACAGGUGUUGCAUGGCUGUCGUCAGCUCGUGUCGUGAGAUGUUGGGUUAAGUCCCGCAACGAGCGCAACCCUUAUCUUUAGUUGCAAACCAGCAAUGGUGCACUCUAGAGAGACUGCCGCUGAUAAAGCGGAGGAAGGUGAGGAUGACGUCAAGUCAGUACGGCCCUUACGCCUGGGGCUACACACGUGCUACAAUGGUCGGUACAAUGGGUUGCGAUACCGCGAGGUGGAGCUAAUCCCCAAAAGCCGACCCCAGUACGGAUUGAAGGCUGCAAUUCGCCUUCAUGAAGCCGGAAUCGUUAGUAACCCCGUAUCAGCUACGACGGGGUGAAUACGUUCCCGGGUCUUGUACACACCGCCCGU